GCCAAGAUAGCUCAGUUGGUAGAGCAUAGCACUGAAAAUGCUAGUGUCGACGGUUCGAUUCCGUCUCUUGGCACC
rnacentral:tRNA from 1 species